UACGUAGGGGGCUAGCGUUGUCCGGAAUCAUUGGGCGUAAAGCGCGUGUAGGCGGCCCGGUAAGUCCGCUGUGAAAGUCGGGGGCUCAACCCUCGGAUGCCGGUGGAUACUGUCGGGCUCGAGUACGGAAGAGGCGAGUGGAAUUCCUGGUGUAGCGGUGAAAUGCGCAGAUAUCGGGAGGAACACCAGUGGCGAAGGCGGUUGCCUGGAGCUUUGCUGACGCUGAGGCGCGAAAGCGUGGGGAGCGAUCCGG
rnacentral:rRNA from 1 species